rnacentral:rRNA from 1 species
UACGUAGGGCGCAAGCGUUAUCCGGAAUUAUUGGGCGUAAAGAGCUCGUAGGCGGUUUGUCGCGUCUGCCGUGAAAGUCCGGGGCUCAACUCCGGAUCUGCGGUGGGUACGGGGCAGACUAGAGUGAUGUAGGGGAGACUGGAAUUCCUGGUGUAGCGGUGAAAUGCGCAGAUAUCAGGAGGAACACCGAUGGCGAAGGCAGGUCUCUGGGCAUUAACUGACGCUGAGGAGCGAAAAGCAUGGGGAGCGAACAGG